GACGAACGCUGGCGGCGUGCUUAACACAUGCAAGUCGAACGGAAAGGCCCUGCUUUUGUGGGGUGCUCGAGUGGCGAGCGGGUGAGUAACACGUGAGUAACCUGCCCUUGACUUUGGGAUAACUUCAGGAAACUGGGGCUAAUACCGGAUAGGAGCUCCUGCUGCAUGGUGGGGGUUGGAAAGUUUCGGCGGUUGGGGAUGGACUCGCGGCUUAUCAGCUUGUUGGUGGGGUAGUGGCUUACCAAGGCUUUGACGGGUAGCCGGCCUGAGAGGGUGACCGGCCACAUUGGGACUGAGAUACGGCCCAGACUCCUACGGGAGGCAGCAGUGGGGAAUAUUGCACAAUGGGCGGAAGCCUGAUGCAGCAACGCCGCGUGCGGGAUGACGGCCUUCGGGUUGUAAACCGCUUUCGCCUGUGACGAAGCGUGAGUGACGGUAAUGGGUAAAGAAGCACCGGCUAACUACGUGCCAGCAGCCGCGGUGAUACGUAGGGUGCGAGCGUUGUCCGGAUUUAUUGGGCGUAAAGGGCUCGUAGGUGGUUGAUCGCGUCGGAAGUGUAAUCUUGGGGCUUAACCCUGAGCGUGCUUUCGAUACGGGUUGACUUGAGGAAGGUAGGGGAGAAUGGAAUUCCUGGUGGAGCGGUGGAAUGCGCAGAUAUCAGGAGGAACACCAGUGGCGAAGGCGGUUCUCUGGGCCUUUCCUGACGCUGAGGAGCGAAAGCGUGGGGAGCGAACAGGCUUAGAUACCCCGGUAGUCCACGCUGUAAACGGUGGGUACUAGGUGUGGGGUCCAUUCCACGGGUUCCGUGCCGUAGCUAACGCUUUAAGUACCCCGCCUGGGGAGUACGGCCGCAAGGCUAAAACUCAAAGGAAUUGACGGGGCCCCGCACAAGCGGCGGAGCAUGCGGAUUAAUUCGAUGCAACGCGUAGAACCUUACCUGGGUUUGACAUGGAUCGGGGGUGCUCAGAGAUGGGUGUGCCUCUUUUGGGGUCGGUUCACAGGUGGUGCAUGGCUGUCGUCAGCUCGUGUCGUGAGAUGUUGGGUUAAGUCCCGCAACGAGCGCAACCCUUGUUCACUGUUGCCAGCACGUUAUGGUGGGGACUCAGUGGAGACCGCCGGGGUCAACUCGGAGGAAGGUGGGGAUGACGUCAAGUCAUCAUGCCCCUUAUGUCCAGGGCUUCACGCAUGCUACAAUGGCUGGUACAGAGAGUGGCGAGCCUGUGAGGGUGAGCGAAUCUCGGAAAGCCGGUCUCAGUUCGGAUUGGGGUCUGCAACUCGACCUCAUGAAGUCGGAGUCGCUAGUAAUCGCAGAUCAGCAACGCUGCGGUGAAUACGUUCCCGGGGCU
rnacentral:rRNA from 1 species